CGUCUAUAUACGUAUAGCAUAUCAAUAAGCGGAGGAAAAGAAACUAACAAGGAUUCCCUUAGUAACGGCGAGUGAAGCGGGAAGAGGCUCAAAUUUGAAAUCUUCAAGGUUCUACCUUGACGAAUUGUAGUUUAAAGAAGUGUUUUCUGUUAGAGGAGUAGCAAAAGUUCCUUGGAAUGGGACAUCAUAGAGGGUGAGAAUCCCGUAUUUGGUUAUUCUUUCUAGCUUUGUGAUACACUUUCAAAGAGUCGGAUUGUUUGGGAACGCAGUCCAAAAUGGGUGGUAAAUUUCAUCUAAAGCUAAAUAUUGGCGAGAGACCGAUAGCGAACAAGUACCGUGAGGGAAAGAUGAAAAGAACUUUGAAAAGAGAGUUAAACAGUACGUGAAAUUGUCAAAAGGGAAGCGUUUGACACCAGUGUUGUUUUUCCGAAAAUCAAUUAAGAGUGGCUUGAUUUUGUGUUGUAUUGACCUUAUCAGCUUUCUUCACUCUUUUUCGAGUCUUUCUUAAUGCACUUUUCGGUUAACAAGUCAACAUCAAUUUCUUUUGUUGUAGAAGGGUAUUUGGAAGGUGGCUUUCCUUUCGGAGAAAGUGUUUAUAGCCUUAUACCUCUACAAUCGGAGAGAUUGAGGUCUGCAGCGUAGAUCCUUCGGGGCUAGAUACACUUGUGCUAAGUUAUAGCUUUUCAUAGACAACUUGUUGACUAUGUUUAGUCAUGUAGCUUACCCGCUUGUGCUAUUUUACCUACGCUUAGGAUGUUGAGUCAUCACACAUCUCU
rnacentral:rRNA from 1 species